GAAUCUGUUGACCUGGCGCCACCGGAAAAAGAAAUUCCCGGGCCCUGGCUUCUUGGCCUGAUGCUGACCCUCGUCCUCAGAUCUCUGCAGAACUUUGACCAGUGGUGGUGGAGGAAUUCCGGCACUGCUAGCCUUGAAGCCUCCAGCCUGCUGGAUGCCUCCAUCCCCGGCUAUGCUGUGGCUCUCCUCAUUCUAGGCCUCCUGCUCGUCACAUUCACCCUUGUCCUGGUGCUAAAGUGGAGGGCCUCCCAUGGGGUGUUCAGCCUGGGUGUGUAGAAGCACACAGUGUGGUACAGAGGACCCUCUCCAGACAGAAAUGAUGCUGGGAGCUGACAGAAACUGAACUUAGGAGCACAGGAGGCCAGGAGACCUGGGACAGAGAACAGGAGGUGACCCCUCAUGCUGCUGCUCCCUCUGCUGAAACCCAAACUGCAAACCUCUCCUCUCCCUGCCUUCACCUUGCCCCACGGCUUCCACAGACAGUGCCUCAACCCCGAGGAAUGAAUCCGAAGUUCCAACACCACUGACUUUCCCAGGAACUCAGAGCCAGAGAGGGCCAAGGACCAGCUCGAGGACACACAGCCAGGGCUUCUUCCCUCCGAAACCCCCAAGGACUGGACUUGCAGGGCUGGGACAGAGGUGGGGUGGGGGAAAGCAAUGCCUUGUCAACCCACGUGGGGAGCCCCACUCCCAUCCCCAAGGUGCAUAAAGUUGAGGAACACC
rnacentral:lncRNA from 1 species